rnacentral:lncRNA from 1 species
AGGAUCUUGGCUCAGAGAUACCUUCCGUUGGAGACCUGGCACGAUACACCUGACGUGAUUUUGGAAUAUCGUGGGGAUGAGAAUAGCGAUAUGGAUGAGGAAUUUACUGAAAGUGAUAUAAGGGUGGCGCUGCAGGAUCUCAAUGGUCGAUCGGCAUCAGGGCCGGAUGGCAUCACGAAUAAAAUGUUACGGAAUUUAGAUGAGGGGUCCAUUGAGUUCCUAACACGGGAGUUAAACAGCCGAUGGAAGGAAGGCUCUUUCCCGGAAGAGUGGAAGCUUGCAACUACUGUUCUGAUACCCAAAGCGGGGAAAGUUAUAGGGCUUGAAAAUCUCAGACCCAUUUCCCUGACAUCGUGUUUGGGGAAAGUCGCUGAGCAUGUCAUUUUAAAUAGGCUAACGCGCUAUGUUGAGGGCAAUGGGGUAUUUCCGCACUCGAUGAUAGGAUUUCGGCCCGGCCUCUCGACUCAGGAUGCUAUGAUCAGGAUUAAGCAUCAGCUACUUGAUCGGCGGACAAGGGAUACUAAGGUACUACUUGGACUUGAUGU